rnacentral:misc_RNA from 1 species
UCCGGUUUGUCACCGGCAGUCUCGCAUGAGUCCCCAGCAUUACCUGAUGGCAACAUGCGACGGGGGUUGCGCUCGUUGCGGGACUUAACCCAACAUCUCACGACACGAGCUGACGACAGCCAUGCACCACCUGUGAUCCUGCCCCGAAGGGAAACCCUGUUUCCAGGGCGGUCAGGAACAUGUCAAGCCCAGGUAAGGUUCUUCGCGUUGCGUCGAAUUAAUCCACAUCAUCCACCGCUUGUGCGGGUCCCCGUCAAUUCCUUUGAGUUUUAGUCUUGCGACCGUACUUCCCAGGCGGGGUACUUAUUGCGUUAGCUACGGCGCGGAAAACGUGGAAUGUCCCCCACACCUAGUGCCCAACGUUUACGGCAUGGACUAC